rnacentral:tRNA from 1 species
GGGAAGUUGGCUUAGUGGUAGAGUGCUUGCCUCGCAUGCAUGAGGCUCUGGGUUCGAUUCCUCAGAACCA